rnacentral:rRNA from 1 species
UACGUAGGGGGCAAGCGUUGUCCGGAUUUAUUGGGCGUAAAGAGCGUGUAGGCGGCCUGGUAGGUCAGUUGUGAAAACUCGAGGCUCAACCUCGAGACGCCGAUUGGAACCACCAGGCUAGAGUCCGGAAGAGGAGAGUGGAAUUCCCGGUGUAGCGGCGAAAUGCGCAGAUAUCGGGAAGAACACCCGUGGCUAAGGCGGCUCUCUAGUACGGUACUGACGCUGAGACGCGAAAGCGUGGGGAGCGAACAGG